rnacentral:rRNA from 1 species
AAGUCGUAACAAGGUUUCCGUAGGUGAACCUGCGGAAGGAUCACUAGUGAUUAAAUCGAGAGCGUCUUCAUUGACCUCUCACCCUUCACAUCCACAUACACCUGUGCACCGUUUGGCUCUUUUAAAAGACGUAAGUCUGCAAAGAGAGUCAUCAAUUUUAUACAUACCCCAGUCUUAUGAAUGUAACAGUUUUAAUAAACAAAAUAAAACUUUUAACAACGGAUCUCUUGGUUCUCGCAUCGAUGAAGAACGCAGCGAAAUGCGAUAAGUAAUGUGAAUUGCAGAAUUCAGUGAAUCAUCGAAUCUUUGAACGCACCUUGCGCUCUUUGGUAUUCCGAAGAGCAUGCCUGUUUGAGUGUCAUGAAACUCUCAACUCCCAACUUUCUUAAUAGUCGGUUGGGAGCUUGGACUUGAGCGUUGCUGGUCUUUAUUGACCGGCUCGCUUGAAAUGAAUUAGCAGAUCCUUUUUGUAAUCGGUUCCACUCGACGUGAUAAGUAUUUCGCCGAGGACAUCUUAACGGAUGGCCGAGAUAAAGAAAGUCUUUAGAUCCGCUUCUAAUUCUUAGUUAGAGCUUGCUCUACUAAACCCCUUUUAUGAUCUGGCCUCAAAUCAGGUAGGACUACCCGCUGAACUUAAGCAUAUCAAUAAGCGGAGGAAAAGAAACUAACAAGGAUUCCCCUAGUAACGGCGAGUGAAGCGGGAUGAGCUCAAAUUUAAAAUCUUGCAGCCUCAGGUUGUACGAGUUGUAGUCUAGAGAAUCGUUUUCCGCGUUGGCCUGUGUACAAGUCCCUUGGAACAGGGCGUCAUAGAGGGUGAGAAUCCCGUCCUUGACACAGACUACCAAUGCUUUGUGAUGCGAUCUCGAAGAGUCGAGUUGUUUGGGAAUGCAGCUCAAAAUGGGUGGUAAAUUCCAUCUAAAGCUAAAUAUUGGCGAGAGACCGAUAGCGAACAAGUACCGUGAGGGAAAGAUGAAAAGCACUUUGGAAAGAGAGUUAAACAGUACGUGAAAUUGUUAAAAGGGAAACGAUUGAAGUCAGUCAUGCUUUCCGAGACUCAGCCGAUUCUGUCGGUGUACUUCUCGGUUUGCAGGCCAGCAUCAGUUUCGAUCUGUGGAAAAGGUUGGAGGGAACGUGGCAUCCUCGGAUGUGUUAUAGCCCUUCUUCGAAUACAUAGAGCGGGACUGAGGAACGCAGCGCGCCUUUUAUUAGGUUGGCCUUCGGGUACAUUCGCGCUUAGGAUGCUGGCAUAAUGGCUUUAAACGACC